rnacentral:rRNA from 1 species
UACGAAGGGGGCUAGCGUUGCCCGGAAUCACUGGGCGUAAAGGGUGCGUAGGCGGGCUUUUAAGUCAGGGGUGAAAUCCUGGAGCUCAACUCCAGAACUGCCUUUGAUACUGAAGAUCUUGAGUCCGGGAGAGGUGAGUGGAACUGCGAGUGUAGAGGUGAAAUUCGUAGAUAUUCGCAAGAACACCAGUGGCGAAGGCGGCUCACUGGCCCGGUACUGACGCUGAGGCACGAAAGCGUGGGGAGCAAACAGG